rnacentral:rRNA from 1 species
UACGUAGGGGGCAAGCGUUGUCCGGAAUCAUUGGGCGUAAAGCGCGUGUAGGCGGUUCAGUAAGUCUGCUGUGAAAGUCCAGGGCUCAACCCUGGGAUGCCGGUGGAUACUGCUGGACUAGAGUCCGGAAGAGGAGAGUGGAAUUCCUGGUGUAGCGGUGAAAUGCGCAGAUAUCAGGAAGAACACCCGUGGCGAAGGCGGCUCUCUGGGACGUGACUGACGCUGAGACGCGAAAGCGUGGGGAGCAAACAGG